UGGAAAUGGCAGCGAAACCAUGGCAGAGGAGGAGUAACCUUGACCGCAGAAUCUUCAAGGGCUGUCGGAGUGGGUUGGCGCCACAUGUCCCCUCUGUCUUUAAUCAUCACUUCGCCCCUUUGCCAGGAAUGGCCUCGGGUGGCUCCGGAGCAGAGGGUCACAAUGUGUUCCCCCUAUCGUUCCCGUAAAAUGACUGACAAAAACAGAUGCCACAGCAAACUGAGGAUGGGAUGAGGUGCAGAGCGAAAGCGUGCAUUUGCAAAUCAGAUGGUCACCUAUACAUCAACAUAUCACUGCUGCUGGUUUUGACAUAAUCUGAAAAUGCCUGUUCAUGUUGAAUGGACCA